rnacentral:rRNA from 1 species
GACGAACGCUGGCGGCGUGCCUAAUACAUGCAAGUCGAGCGAACAAUUGAGGUGCUUGCACCUCAGGCGUUAGCGGCGGAUGGGUGAGUAACACGUGGGCAACCUGCCCUGCAGAUGGGGAUAACUCCGGGAAACCGGGCUAAUACCGAAUGAUCUGUUUCUCCGCAUGGAGAAACACUAAAAGACGGUUUCGGCUGUCACUGCAGGAUGGGCCCGCGGCGCAUUAGCUAGUUGGUGAGAUAAAAGCUCACCAAGGCGACGAUGCGUAGCCGACCUGAGAGGGUGAUCGGCCACACUGGGACUGAGACACGGCCCAGACUCCUACGGGAGCAGCAGUAGGGAAUCUUCCACAAUGGACGAAAGUCUGAUGGAGCGACGCCGCGUGAGUGAAGAAGGUUUUCGGAUCGUAAAACUCUGUUGUGAGGGAAGAACAGAUGUGACCUAACUAGUCAUGUCCUGACGGUACCUCGUUAGAAAGCCAGGCUAACUAC